GUGCUCACUUCAGUAGCACAUAUACUAAAAUUGGAAUGAUACAGAGGAGAUUAGCAUGGCCUCUGUGCAAAUAUGACAUGCAAAUUCAUGAAGUAUUUCAUAUUUUU